GAUGAACGCUGGCGGUAUGCUUAACACAUGCAAGUCGAACGGACUCUUCGGAGUUAGUGGCGGACGGGUGAGUAACGCGUGAGAAUCUGGCUUUGGGUUCGGGACAACCACUGGAAACGGUGGCUAAUACCGGAUGUGCCGAGAGGUAAAAGAGAAAUUGCCUGAAGAUGAGCUCGCGUCUGAUUAGCUAGUUGAUGAGGUAAAGGCUCACCAAGGCAGCGAUCAGUAGCUGGUCUGAGAGGAUGACCAGCCACACUGGGACUGAGACACGGCCCAGACUCCUACGGGAGGCAGCAGUGGGGAAUUUUCCGCAAUGGGCGAAAGCCUGACGGAGCAAUACCGCGUGAGGGAAGAAGGCUCUUGGGUUGUAAACCUCUUUUCUUAGGGAAGAACAAAAUGACGGUACCUAAGGAAUCAGCAUCGGCUAACUCCGUG
rnacentral:rRNA from 1 species